rnacentral:rRNA from 1 species
AGUGAACGCUGGCGGUAGGCCUAACACAUGCAAGUCGAACGGCAGCACAGUAAGAGCUUGCUCUUACGGGUGGCGAGUGGCGGACGGGUGAGGAAUACAUCGGAAUCUACUUUUUCGUGGGGGAUAACGUAGGGAAACUUACGCUAAUACCGCAUACGACCUACGGGUGAAAGCAGGGGAUCUUCGGACCUUGCGCGAUUGAAUGAGCCGCUGUCGGAUUAGCUAGUUGGCGGGGUAAAGGCCCACCAAGGCGACGAUCCGUAGCUGGUCUGAGAGGAUGAUCAGCCACACUGGAACUGAGACACGGUCCAGACUCCUACGGGAGGCAGCAGUGGGGAAUAUUGGACAAUGGGCGCAAGCCUGAUCCAGCAAUACCGCGUGGGUGAAGAAGGCCUUCGGGUUGUAAAGCCCUGUUGUUGGGAAAGAAAAGCAGCAGGGUAAAAAGCCGGUGGUAUGACGGGAACCAAAGAAGAAGCACCGGCUAACUUCGGG